CCUACGGGAGGCAGCAGUGAGGAAUAUUGGUCAAUGGACGAGAGUCUGAACCAGCCAAGUAGCGUGAAGGAUGACUGCCCUAUGGGUUGUAAACUUCUUUUAUAUGGGAAUAAAACGUUCCACGUGUGGGAUUUUGUAUGUACCAUAUGAAUAAGGAUCGGCUAACUCCGUGCCAGCAGCCGCGGUAAUACGGAGGAUCCGAGCGUUAUCCGGAUUUAUUGGGUUUAAAGGGAGCGUAGGUGGAUUGUUAAGUCAGUUGUGAAAGUUUGCGGCUCAACCGUAAAAUUGCAGUUGAAACUGGCAGUCUUGAGUACAGUAGAGGUGGGCGGAAUUCGUGGUGUAGCGGUGAAAUGCUUAGAUAUCACGAAGAACUCCAAUUGCGAAGGCAGUUCACUGGACUGCAACUGACACUGAGGCUCGAAAGUGUGGGUAUCAAACAGGAUUAGAUACCCGAGUAGUC
rnacentral:rRNA from 1 species